AUGGCAUCGGCACGGCACAACACUGCGGGGCUGGGAGAAGGAGAGGGCACGGCCCCGAGCGGAGCGCACGGCCUUCCCGUACCGGAGGUGCCCGUGCCGGAGCCGCCGCCUGCCGCCUGCCGCCGGUACCGGAGAAGCACGGCGCGGGAUUUGGGGCGGACGGAUUUGGAGCUCCCUCAGCCCGCAUUUAGCCGGCUGAAAGUCAGCAAAACGGGUCUAACGGCGGAGCACGGGACGGCGGUACCAGGAGCGGCGCCGGACACUUCAGCUCUCCAGCCGCCGCCGCAUCUGCCGAGCCCUGGUCACCCGCGCCCCUUCGAGUCCUUCCAGCCGCUACGAUGCCGGCUUCGGCCCUCCGAGCUUACACUGCGACCUCUGUGCUCCCAGACGCGCCGGCCGUGCCGCGCUGCCUGCCCUCGUCCCCACACAACGGCUGGCUGUGACACGCUGCGCUGCAGGUGGACCGAGAGCGGUGACAAAGGCCGACGGCCACGCGUCUGCUGCAGCCACGGGCAGAUGUGCGGAAAGGCCACACAAAGGACGGGCCGUGCCGGCAGCAGCCAGCCCUGAGCGCGGCACGGGGGACGCGGACAUGGGUGGGAGCCGCAGCAAGCUCACGGGAGAAGGAAACGGGCACGGAACGAGCCGUGUGCCCAGCGCUCCGUGUCCCCAGAGCUCCCGCUUCUCAGCUGGGGGAGAAACUACGGAGCUGCUGAAGGCACAAAGCUGUUUUCUGAAGGGCCGGGGCCGGCUUCCCUCCCACGUGCAUUGCUGACAUUUCAGAGGAUCGCUGUUGGUACAGUCCCACGUCCCGAAGCGUCACUGAACAUCCACUCUCUUUGUUAUGCUGUGUCGCCCAUCUCCGGCUCCCAUCCAACAAACUGCUGCUUUCUGAGGGAGAAAUGAUGUCCGUGAGCGCGGUCCCACAGAGGAAGGACUGGUUGUAGGGAGGCCCGGCUGCUCAUCCUGGGGACACAGCAUUACUGCUGCUCGCCCAGGCCGAGGAAUCCAUCCUACUGCCACCCUCCCAGCUCUGCAUCGCUGUUGGGGUUAGGGCUCAUUCACCCAACUUAUCAUCAUCUCACAAAUCAGUUUCAGCUGCACCCACACUGCUUCCACCAAAAUCCAGCUUUGGUGACUAAGAGUGUUAAAAAAAAAAAAAGAUUGUUUUUUCCCCUUUGCUCCAACCCAUUCCUGACUCAAGACACUAAUCCCCUGCCUACCUUUCCUCCAGAGCCAGUCCCGACCUGCAGCCCCUUCAGUCUGCCUAAAAAAACCCACCCCCUAACGCACGCUCUGGAAAGCUUUAUUUAAGAAGCAGCAAAUCAACCCAACCCAACCCAACCCAUCCCGCAGCCGGGAGAACACGCUGGAAAAGAGCGCGGAGAGCCGUGCUGGAGGGCUGCACCCCUCCGCCCCUCGGGGCGUCCCGCAGCCGCCGUGCGUCCCAGGCGGCGCAGCGGAGCGCGCUCCCUCUGUAGGAAGGAGCUUCGUCGCUCUGCACGGCGAUCCUGCUCCCAGAACAGCCACAAAAGCCGGUUGUCGGGCAAGGCACGGCUGAAAACGGCACGGCACAAAGAGCUAACGUAGCACUGAUUUGUCCAUUCAGCAGCCUCUGAUUCCCAUUUAUUCAGAAGGUUUUUUAUAUAUUCAAAUCCAUCCAGGAUCCUCCCCUCUGGAAGCCCCUGCUCGCUGCUGCUUCUAAGCAG
ensembl:lncRNA